AUAUCAUUCGAUGGAGAUAAACAUUUUGCAUGAUCGUUAAUCGUGUACAUUAUUAUAUAUAGUGCAGAGCCGAUCCUGCUAUCAUGGCGCCUUGAUCAUAUCGAAUUAAUGACACCGUAUGGUCUAAAAUACUCUUUAAAAAAAUGUCUUUUUUCGGUGUAACCUGAGGCCGCGUCUGGCCGUUUUAUAAGCGCCUUAUUACAGUUUCAUACGGUAGUCGUGCGAUGAAUUUGGUCCACGCUUAGAGUGAGUGUGCGCUCAUACUGAGGACACCGUGACCGGGCUGUGCAGCGCCUACGUUGAGGUCUUCGGCGCGAGGCACUCAUUCUUUAAGACUAUACUUUCAGGGAUCAUUUCUAUAGUUUCUGACUUGAGAGAUGCAUUUCGAAAGUGUUUGGUCACGCUAACCAUGAUGAGGAGUCGAGCUCCUUCUCCUGAGCGCGAAGCGGGCGCUGAGUGCUGGUUAAUCCAGCCGCUCGCCGUCAUUGAUGACCGUUCUGUUCUUCUCACGAAGAAUCGGAGGGAGGAGGAGCUGUCUGAAUGGUUAGUUGUAUUUGGUUUGAAAAAAAGAUUUAAUACAUGUAGAUUUAGUCACUGUUAGUUUUUUUGCCGUUAAUUAACAAUGUCUUCAAUCCCUCCUUAGGCAUCUUUUUCAAUGCAUCGCUUCUUUGAAAUUUAAAGAAAGAAGUGAUUGAAAACGUAAAAUACAUCUCACUCGCACGCAUUUAUUUACACGCCACCCAGCGGUAGAGCGUGAAAGCUGAUAGAAUACAAGCUAAAGGAAUACUGGCUUAACUGGAACCAAAAUACAUUUUCAAACACGCACGGCUUUUUAAAAAAGGGAAUAUAUGGAAUUUAUUAAAUAACACCAUCUCUUUUCAUCUGGUAGUUAAAAAAAUUGUUGAACUUAACAAUUUUGCCAAUAUAUGCACAUAAAGCACAUAAAACUACACAAUUUUUGAGAAAUACUCCUGCAAAGUCAAGUAUUUCGGGCUGCAACAAUUACAUAAAAAACAAGAUCCCAUUGUGAAGUUUUCUGGUAUCACCACCGUCACAGGCCUGAUCAGCAACAAUGAGACGGCCUGCAGAACGUAAGAGUUGUUAUUGAUUACAACAAGCAAGUAUCAGAGUGCAGUGAAACACAUGUCGGGCGGUCAGCAACUUAAAAAUUCUUGGAGUCAUUCUCAUUUUUUAUUUCCCAAGACCUAUCGAAAGCUGCGGUGCACCGUCGGACCAUUAACUGUGUAAGACCUGCUCUUAGUUUGCGUGGUUCAUUUGUUUGCACCGCAGCACUGCUAAAUGAAGAGAUUUGUAAGGCCUUUAAUUGAUUGCUUUUAAAUGUGGUCUAUCCUAAUUGAUCUUGGUGUUUUUUAAAUUAUUUACCUAUAUUUUAAAUUAGUCAUCAAUGUUUCACGUCAAACACACUGGAAUGGAACAAACCGCUGUAGUUAGUGAAAAAUUUCUGCACAGAACCACAAAGCACUGCAGAGGGUAGUGAAAACAACACCGACCGUCACCGGGACACAGCUGGUAGCAUUUAAGAAAUUCGCCUCACAGGCUGCCUCCGAAAAGACCACAAAUGACGGAGCCCAGCUGUCCAGCACAGUCACCUUCUUCCUUCUUCCCUCCAGAAGACGUUACAGUUCAGAUAUUAUAUUUCAAUCACCACUGACAUUUAUUAUCCACUGUCACUUUAACCUCAGCAUUAUGUUUUCUCACUUGUAUGUUAUUAUAUAUACAUAUUGCAUAUUGCAUGUACAUUGUAUAUAUUGUAUGUAUAUUACUAUUAUUAUUAUUACUAUUACAUUAUUUUCUAUUUAUUGUUACUUAGGCCUAUUUUAUAUAUGUUGUUUAAGCCUCUGUGGAGGUUGGCAGUAUGUAUUUUACUGUACCCAAUAUUUGUACACGCGUACCAAUGAUGAUAAAGCUUUUGAAUCCUUUAAUUUUCUAGGUACAAUGGCCUCGCUACGCUUAAGAAGGUGACAAGCGUAUAGGAAAAUUAUGUCAUUGCGCAAUUUAUGUCAUUGCGCUUAGUCUAUAAGGAAACACAAUGAAGCGUAAAAUUACUCGUCACUUAGGCAGAGUGAACAAUUCGUUUAGUCACGCGUGUAGCUCCAAAUAGCUUUAUAAAAUUCCAGGAUUAUGACAUUGUUUACUUUAAUGACAAAUUUCAGGAAGUAAUAAUAACAAUAAAUAUACAAAUUUUUAAAAGUAUCUGCGAACCAAAAAUAAACUUAACACAACCAUAAGCUUAUCUACUGGCAUAUUAAAGGCAAAUUUAAAACUACAUAUAAGAACAUAAGAGCAGAACAUGUAACAAAUGACCAAAGUUGACAAGCCUGCGCUGAUAUCAACGUUAACAAGCCGUCAUGUUAAAUACAACAGUGCACCGUAUUCACAGGGGAUGCGAUUCAAGACCUAUACCGCGGAGAUCCGAAAUCCUGCAUGGACAGUAGCGAACACUAUAUAUGAUUUCAACAUGAUGGUUAUUCAAAAACGAGAUAAAUGUUGUCAUUAUAACAAA